AACGCACCUUGCGCCCUUUGGUAUUCCGAAGGGCAUGCCUGUUUGAGUGUCAUGAAACCUCACCCCACCUGGGUUUUUGCCCGAGCGGUGGUGGAUUGGGUGUCUGCCGUUACUGGCUCACCUUAAAAGCAUAAGCAACUUUGGAUGUAAUACGUUUCAUCCUUACGAGUGGCUGAUAACUCCACAUAACUCAUGAUCUGGCCUCAAAUCAGGUAGGGCUACCCGCUGAACUUAA
rnacentral:misc_RNA from 1 species